CGGGGGAUAACUAUUGGAAACGAUAGCUAAUACCGCAUAACAAUGGAUGACACAUGUCAUUUAUUUGAAAGGGGCAAUUGCUCCACUACAAGAUGGACCUGCGUUGUAUUAGCUAGUAGGUGAGGUAAUGGCUCACCUAGGCGACGAUACAUAGCCGACCUGAGAGGGUGAUCGGCCACACUGGGACUGAGACACGGCCCAGACUCCUACGGGAGGCAGCAGUAGGGAAUCUUCGGCAAUGGGGGCAACCCUGACCGAGCAACGCCGCGUGAGUGAAGAAGGUUUUCGGAUCGUAAAGCUCUGUUGUAAGUCAAGAACGGGUGUGAGAGUGGAAAGUUCACACUGUGACGGUAGCUUACCAGAAAGGGACGGCUAACUACGUGCCAGCAGCCGCGGUAAUACGUAGGUCCCGAGCGUUGUCCGGAUUUAUUGGGCGUAAAGCGAGCGCAGGCGGUUUGAUAAGUCUGAAGUUAAAGGCUGUGGCUCAACCAUAGUUCGCUUUGGAAACUGUCAAACUUGAGUGCAGAAGGGGAGAGUGGAAUUCCAUGUGUAGCGGUGAAAUGCGUAGAUAUAUGGAGGAACACCGGUGGCGAAAGCGGCUCUCUGGUCUGUAACUGACGCUGAGGCUCGAAAGCGUGGGGAGCGAACAGGAUUAGAUACCCUGGUAGUCCACGCCGUAAACGAUGAGUGCUAGGUGUUGGAUCCUUUCCGGGAUUCAGUGCCGAAGCUAACGCAUUAAGCACUCCGCCUGGGGAGUACG
rnacentral:rRNA from 1 species